UACGUAGGGUCCGAGCGUUGUCCGGAAUUACUGGGCGUAAAGAGCUCGUAGGUGGUUUGUCGCGUUGUUCGUGAAAACUCACAGCUCAACUGUGGGCGUGCGGGCGAUACGGGCAGACUAGAGUACUGCAGGGGAGACUGGAAUUCCUGGUGUAGCGGUGGAAUGCGCAGAUAUCAGGAGGAACACCGGUGGCGAAGGCGGGUCUCUGGGCCACUACUGACGCUGAGAAGCGAAAGCGUGGGGGAGCGAACAGG
rnacentral:rRNA from 1 species